rnacentral:sRNA from 2 species
UGUAUCUGAAGCCUGACGAGGAUGAGAACCUCCGGGGGUAAGAGGUUAGACUCGAGCGAAGCGAGAGAACGUUGCGCCAGCAACGGCCCGCAGGGCGAGCCACGCAGUGGCGAGUCAUCCUCUAUCACCGGCAG